rnacentral:rRNA from 1 species
UACGAAGGGGGCUAGCGUUGCUCGGAAUCACUGGGCGUAAAGGGCGCGUAGGCGGCUCAUGAAGGCUGUGGUGAAAGUCCGGGGCUCAACCUCGGAUCGGCCGUGGCGACUCGUGGGCUGGAGCACUGUAGAGGCGGGUGGAAUUCCGGGUGUAGCGGUGGAAUGCGUAGAGAUCCGGAAGAACACCAGUGGCGAAGGCGGCCCCCUGGGCCGGCCCUGACACUGAGACGCGAAGGCGUGGGGAGCGAACGGG